UACGUAGGGCGCAAGCGUUGUCCGGAAUUAUUGGGCGUAAAGAGCUCGUAGGCGGCUUGUCACGUCGGGUGUGAAAGCCCGGGGCUUAACCCCGGGUCUGCAUUCGAUACGGGCUAGCUAGAGUGUGGUAGGGGAGAUCGGAAUUCCUGGUGUAGCGGUGAAAUGCGCAGAUACCAGGAGGAACACCGGUGGCGAAGGCGGAUCUCUGGGCCAUUACUGACGCUGAGACGCGAAAGCGUGGGGAGCAAACAGG
rnacentral:rRNA from 1 species